GUGCCAGCCGCCGCGGUAAGACGAACCGUGCGAAUGUUGUUCGGAAUCACUGGGCUUAAAGGGCGCGUAGGCGGGCUGUCAAGUCUGGGGUGAAAUGCCGCGGCUCAACCGUGGAACUGCCUUAGAUACUGACGGCCUCGAGGAAGGUAGGGGCAUGCGGAACUGUAGGUGGAGCGGUGAAAUGCGUUGAUAUCUACAGGAACUCCGGUGGCGAAAGCGGCGUGCUGGACCUUUUCUGACGCUGAGGCGCGAAAGCUAGGGGAGCAAACGGGAUUAGAAACCCUUGUAGUCC
rnacentral:rRNA from 1 species